AGGUUAAGUUAGGAAGGGCGCAUGGUGAAUGCCUUGGUACUAGGAGCCGAUGAAGGACGGGACUAACACCGAUAUGCCUCGGGGAGCUGUAAGUAAGCUUUGAUCCGGGGAUUUCCGAAUGGGGCAACCCAAUAGUUUUAAUCGACUAUUAUCCGCAUCUGAAUACAUAGGAUGUGUGAAGGUAAACGUGGGGAACUGAAACAUCUCAGUACCCGCAGGAACAGAAAGAAAAUUCGAUUCCCUGAGUAGCGGCGAGCGAAACGGGAAGAGCCCAAACCAGGAAGCUUGCUUCCUGGGGUUGUAGGACUGAACAUUUGAGUUACCAAAGAACUUGAUAGCUGAAGAAUCUGGGAAGAUUCGCCAAAGAGGGUGAUAGCCCCGUAAGUUAAAUCAAGUUCUCUCAGUUCAGGAUCCUGAGUACGGCGGAGCACGUGAAAUUCCGUCGGAAUCCGGGAGGACCAUCUCCCAAGGCUAAAUACUACCUAGUGACCGAUAGUGAACCAGUACCGUGAGGGAAAGGUGAAAAGCACCCCGGAAGGGGAGUGAAAUAGUUCCUGAAACCAUGUGCCUACAAGAAGUCAGAGCCCGUUAAUGGGUAAUGGCGUGCCUUUUGUAGAAUGAACCGGCGAGUUACGUUCGUAUGCCAGGUUAAGUUGAAGAGACGGAGCCGAAGCGAAAGCGAGUCUGAAUAGGGCGAUAUAAGUAUGCGGAUGUAGACCCGAAACCAAGUGACCUACCCAUGUCCAGGUUGAAGGUGCAGUAAAAUGCACUGGAGGACCGAACUCGUGUACGUUGAAAAGUGCUGAGAUGAGGUGUGGGUAGCGGUGAAAUUCCAAACGAACUUGGAGAUAGCUGGUUCUCUCCGAAAUAGCUUUAGGGCUAGCCUCGGAAUUAGGAUCGUGGAGGUAGAGCCACUGUUUGGACUAGGGGCCCAUCAAGGGUUACCGAAUUCAGAUAAACUCCGAAUGCCAUCGAUUUAUGUCCGGGAGUCAGACGGUGAGUGAUAAGAUCCAUCGUCGAAAGGGGAACAGCCCAGACCACCAGUUAAGGUCCCUAAAUAUAUGUUAAGUGGAAAAGGAUGUGGAGUUGCAUAGACAACUAGGAUGUUGGCUCAGAAGCAGCCACCAUUUAAAGAGUGCGUAAUAGCUCACUAGUCGAGUGAUCCUGCGCCGAAAAUGUACCGGGGCUUAAACAUAUUACCGAGACUGUGGAUGCCACCAUUAGGUGGCGUGAUAGGAGAGCGUUCUAAGGGCAAUGAAGGCAGACCGUGAGGACUGUUGGAGCGCUUAGAAGUGAGAAUGCCGGUAUGAGUAGCGAAAGAUAGGUGAGAAUCCUAUCCACCGUAUGACUAAGGUUUCCUGGGGAAGGCUCGUCCUCCCAGGGUUAGUCGGGACCUAAGCCGAGGCCGAGAGGCGUAGGCGAUGGAUAACAGGUUGAUAUUCCUGUACUAGUUAAACUUGUUUGAACAAUGGAGGGACGCAGUAGGCUAAGGAAAGCACCCAGCUGGAAA
rnacentral:rRNA from 1 species